UGCAGUAGAACGCUGAAGAGAGGAGCUUGCUCUCUCUUGGAUGAGUUGCGAACGGGUGAGUAACGCGUAGGUAACCUGCCUUGUAGCGGGGGAUAACUAUUGGAAACGAUAGCUAAUACCGCAUAACAAUGGAUGACACAUGUCAUUUAUUUGAAAGGGGCAAUUGCUCCACUACAAGAUGGACCUGCGUUGUAUUAGCUAGUAGGUGAGGUAACGGCUCACCUAGGCGACGAUACAUAGCCGACCUGAGAGGGUGAUCGGCCACACUGGGACUGAGACACGGCCCAGACUCCUACGGGAGGCAGCAGUAGGGAAUCUUCGGCAAUGGGGGCAACCCUGACCGAGCAACGCCGCGUGAGUGAAGAAGGUUUUCGGAUCGUAAAGCUCUGUUGUAAGUCAAGAACGAGUGUGAGAGUGGAAAGUUCACACUGUGACGGUAGCUUACCAGAAAGGGACGGCUAACUACGUGCCAGCAGCCGCGGUAAUACGUAGGUCCCGAGCGUUGUCCGGAUUUAUUGGGCGUAAAGCGAGCGCAGGCGGUUUGAUAAGUCUGAAGUUAAAGGCUGUGGCUCAACCAUAGUUCGCUUUGGAAACUGUCAAACUUGAGUGCAGAAGGGGAGAGUGGAAUUCCAUGUGUAGCGGUGAAAUGCGUAGAUAUAUGGAGGAACACCGGUGGCGAAAGCGGCUCUCUGGUCUGUAACUGACGCUGAGGCUCGAAAGCGUGGGGAGCGAACAGGAUUAGAUACCCUGGUAGUCCACGCCGUAAACGAUGAGUGCUAGGUGUUGGAUCCUUUCCGGGAUUCAGUGCCGCAGCUAACGCAUUAAGCACUCCGCCUGGGGAGUACGACCGCAAGGUUGAAACUCAAAGGAAUUGACGGGGGCCCGCACAAGCGGUGGAGCAUGUGGUUUAAUUCGAAGCAACGCGAAGAACCUUACCAGGUCUUGACAUCCCGAUGCUAUUUCUAGAGAUAGAAAGUUACUUCGGUACAUCGGUGACAGGUGGUGCAUGGUUGUCGUCAGCUCGUGUCGUGAGAUGUUGGGUUAAGUCCCGCAACGAGCGCAACCCCUAUUGUUAGUUGCCAUCAUUCAGUUGGGCACUCUAGCGAGACUGCCGGUAAUAAACCGGAGGAAGGUGGGGAUGACGUCAAAUCAUCAUGCCCCUUAUGACCUGGGCUACACACGUGCUACAAUGGUUGGUACAACGAGUUGCGAGUCGGUGACGGCAAGCUAAUCUCUUAAAGCCAAUCUCAGUUCGGAUUGUAGGCUGCAACUCGCCUACAUGAAGUCGGAAUCGCUAGUAAUCGCGGAUCAGCACGCCGCGGUGAAUACGUUCCCGGGCCUUGUACACACCGCCCGUCACACCACGAGAGUUUGUAACACCCGAAGUCGGUGAGGUAACCUUUGGAGCCAGCCGCCUAA
rnacentral:rRNA from 1 species